rnacentral:rRNA from 1 species
CAAUAGCGUAUAUUAAAGUUGUUGCGGUUAAAAAGCUCGUAGUUGGAGUUCUGCCAGGUGCCGCCUGUCCGCCCCAGUGGUGAGUACGUGGCGCGCAUUUGGCCCUUUCAAGGGGAGCGUAUCUGCACUUUAUUGUGUGGUGCGGGAUCCUUGACUUUUACUUUGAGGAAAUAGGAGUGUUCCAAGCAGGCUCUCGUCGUGCACAGCUCAGCAUGGAAUAAUAGCAUUGGACCUCGAUUCUAAGCUGUUGGUUGCCAGAAGCGAGGUAAUGAUGAAGAGGGAUAGUUGGGGGCAUUCGUAUUUAACCGUCAGAGGUGAAAUUCUUGGAUUUGUUAAAGACGGACUACUGCGAAAGCAUCUGCCAUGGAUGUUUUCAUUGA